AGUGCAGAGAAGGUGGAUUGAGGACUUCACAAUUGGAGCAUGUCUUGUGUUGCCUGGUUACUGAGACUCUCUGGGGAUUAGAUUGUCGGGAUAUUCAGAUGCACAGAAAAGCAAACAAACAAAACUCCUACCUCUCUGGUCUUUCCUCGGUGAGGACAGGACAGCCUCUAAGGUAGUCUCACCAUUUGAGAGACAUGGUCAAUGUGAAGUGCCUACAUUCCAUAUGCUCAGGUCGUGGUCUUGCAGUCGUGAAGUUGAGCCCUGUAUCACGUUCCACACUGAGCAUGCAGCCUGCCUAAGAUUCUCUUUCUCUCCCUCUGGUGCUCUCCCCCACUUCUGCUUUCUCUCUCUCUCUGUCUCUCUAAAAAAAAAAAAAAAAAAAGAAAGAAAGAAAGAAAAGACAAAAAAAUAAGAAGAACAAGAACAAUAAAAGUAUUGAAGAAGUCAGGAGAGUAGGGAAUUUUGUGGCAAAAAAACUUCUAUAUAGUGACUUGUAAACUAAGUUUGAGAAGAUUCUAAGACAUACUAAUGUUGUG